GGGGUCAAGGUGUUCUGCUCAGCAUCUUUUUAUAUAGAUAAUUGCAACUCCGUAUAAUCAAAAUAAAUCAUAGACAAUCAUGGAUAGUGAAAAUUAUGAAAAAGACCGAAACAUUAUAGAUCCAAAAUGACUCAUAUAGGGUUAAUCAAUUGAUCUAGGUUUACCUAGACAUGUGGACCUCCACUAAUGUAUAGAAUUUCUAGAG
rnacentral:lncRNA from 1 species